UACGAAGGAGGCUAGCGUUGUUCGGAAUCACUGGGCGUAAAGCGCACGUAGGCGGGUCUUUAAGUCAGGGGUGAAAUCCUGGAGCUCAACUCCAGAACUGCCUUUGAUACUGAGGAUCUUGAGUUCGGGAGAGGUGAGUGGAACUGCGAGUGUAGAGGUGAAAUUCGUAGAUAUUCGCAAGAACACCAGUGGCGAAGGCGGCUCACUGGCCCGAUACUGACGCUGAGGCACGAAAGCGUGGGGAGCAAACAGG
rnacentral:rRNA from 1 species